ACCCUACACAAAAUAAGAUAUUCCAUAUCAUUAACUUGACUUGUGCAGGAAAGAACAAGUCAAAGAAAACCACACACAGCAUGUUUCAGUGAGAGCAAUUCGUUAAGAAAUAGUUAGGCAAAUAAACAAUUUUAUUGUCACAAUGUAUGAAAAUGGGAUAUGAAAAAAGGUAUGGUACUUCCAUAAGACAGUUGAGGAAAUGUGGAGAACACAGCGUGUGCAGUAUUACUGAGCUGUGGAUCUGUGGAGCCCUUGAUAGCAGAUUACAAGAAAUGGCAUUUGGUGUCAGACACUUCAAUAUGGAGAGAGAGAGAGAGAGAGAGAGAGACUACCUUCUUGACCCUUUCAUAUAUCCUAAAGCCCAAACUCGCUCAAGGCCAUAGUUAAGAGUGUUCUCAAGCCUGUAAAAGCAUCAAGAAAAUCAUUAGUCUCUUGUUGGCUUGUUCUAUAACCAAAAAAAAAGUAUUAGUUGCAUGGAAAAAGGAUUGUAAUACUAUUCUAAACCAUGAGUACAAAACAGCAGGUCUUCAUAUAUCACGAGUUCCGGCAUCAAAAAGUAGUUCCAUAAUUUUAUAUGACAAAAUGAAAAUAAUUUUUUUUAAAAAAAAAAAACUCUUCUCAAAACUGCAGGAGAAAGCAUAACUCCAAGAACCCCUUUUUUCUCAUCACCUCAUUGUUAAAGGAGCUAAUCAUUUCAACAGCUUAUGGACUAAGCUAUUAUAGUCAUGGUGUCAUGAUGGUUUAAUGUUCAACAAUUAGUGCCAGGUGUGAUACCAAUCAGCAUAAGGUUAGAACCAAUCAUGUAUCUCAUUCACCCCUAUUUAGUUGCAGUGUUUUCUCUGUAUGUGACUGAUUUUUACUGUAUGUUGCAAUACAAAACAAACAGUGCAAGUUAAAUCUCCUGCUACUGUAACCCUGCCACCAAACUUUUUUUGGGAAGUCAUGUGUACUUAAUCCAUGACAGAAAGUACUGUUGGCUGAUUUGCUGUGAGAGAAAAACACUGCUGACUGACUAGCAGAUUCGGCUGAUAAGCUCAAGCGAACAAGGCUAACAAAAUCUCCUGCUACUAUAACCAACAAUUGAACAUUUGAACUCUAGAAUUGUCGCAAAGUUAAACCUCGGAUCAAAUAGCAAAAGAGGCUAUCACAGAAACUGCUGAUGAACUUUAGUGUUUACCAGAUUUGGCCUCAAAAUGAAAGCACACUUGCAUAUACAUAUAUAAGCAAGUGAUGGCAGUGAUACUAAAUAAAUGAGUAGCAAUACCUGUAGGUAGUAGAAUGCCACAUUCGAACUGUCCCAUCCUCUGAACCAGUAAUUAUUAUAGGUAGCUCUGGAUGGAAACAUACAGCAGACACAUUAUGUGCAUGUCCUUCAAGUGUUUGAACGCAACUCUUUGUUUGGUAGUCCCAAACCUGAUUUUCACCAAUAAUGUCAUCAGUGUACAAUAAAUGAUCACAGGAGUACAAUUCAGUGCAUAUGACAAACCUUUGCAGUCUGAUCAUCAGAGCCAGUAAUUAAGUAUGGUCGAUCACCACCGGUGAAGUAAUCAACACAGUUCACACCUUUUGAAUGGCCAUCUAGUGUGAAAUUUGGGUCAGGGGAACCAAGACUCCAUAUCUGAUAUUGACAAAAAUUAGGAUAUCACCAUUAAGUUAUGAAAAAGCUAAUGGCAGCAAAUAAUACAAUAUUGUGGCCAACCAGAACUUUUAAAGCAGAGAUAACACAAACCUUUAUUGUGCGAUCCAGGGAAGCACUGGCAAAGGUGUUGGUAUCUUUUGGGUUAAAUGUAACUUGCAUCACAUAGUGAGAAUGCCCUUCGAAUAUUUGAGUACACACCCAGCCUUUAUCCCAAUCCCACAGCUUAAUCAGCAUGUCAUCGGACGAUGAUAGCACAAAGGGCUGGGUUGGAUGAACAGCCACACACCUAAUGUAAUCAGUGUGAGCUUCAAAAACCUUGACCUUGUCCAUUGUGUUAUAGUUGUACACACGGAUGAACAUAUCGUCAGCACCAGCAACAACCCAUUGCUUACGUGCAAUAAAUUUAGCCGAACGAACUGAAAUUGUUAAAGAAUAUUAGCAUAGCAUGAUGUAAACUUCAGGGAAGAGAAGCAAGCAGAAAGUUGGGUGAGCGUACCUGGUAAAUCCGUGACUUCAAAUGAUUUCACCAUUGUCUGGGGACGAGUUGAUAAAAUGCCAUCAGUUAAAGUUUAUGACCAAACCAACUAGGUAAUAUUUCUGGACUUUAAAAGUAAUGAGAUCAUGGAUUCACAAGGUGUGCAUGUUUCUCUUUUCUUCCUUCCAGUACUGGGGUUUAAUUCUGUGUUUGCUCUAUUCCAUUCCUUAUUCUUCCUUCCAGUACUUGGGUUUAAUUAUGUGUCUGCUCUAUUCCAUUCCCUAUCUGUGGUCCACUAGUCUGUCAACCAUUUACAAGCUGCAUAUAAAUUCAGCACAUGCAACUAAAACCCAUCCAUCUCAGCAUCCAUCAGGGAGGUGCUUGUAACUUUUGCCCUAAGCCCCUAACCAUUACGCUUUUUGCAAAUGCAAUUAAAUCCAAAUUGUUCCUAUUAGUUUUAUGUAACCACUAGUCUUUCCCAUACUCUAUUGCUGGCAUAUCACUAAGUUCAUUAUUGUGUGCACCCAAUAUGCCCGCGCCUUGAGCUCUAUAGUAAAUGCAAUGUAUGCAAGUAAUGGCUAAUCAUUAUGGGAAGAUAUCUAGUGCAAACCACAACUUUCGUGAAAACCUGUGCAAACCAAGGCAAAAAAGUCAUCUAAAUUUACCAAAAAAAUCACACAUGUAGAUGAUAUGAUGAUACACAACCUUGUAAAAUAUCUUGUCCAAACUCAAAUUCAUUUGUGAGAUAUAAAAAUAACAAAUUUCUAGCAAAUUCUGUGGACACCUUUCUGGCUUGAAAUUUGUUAUUUUUAUAUCUCACAAACAAAGUUGAGUUUGGACAAGAUAUUUUACAAUGUUGUGUAUUAUCAAAUCAUCUACAUGUGUGAUUUUUUUGAUGAAUUUAGACAACUUUUUUGCCUUGGUUUGCACAGGUUUUCAUGGAGGUUGUGGUUUGCACUAGAUAUGUUCCAAAUCAUUAUAGCGUAAAACGUUCAUCCAACAACCCAAUUUAGUAUAAAAUAAUAGGCAUAAGCUACCGUGAAGCAUGAACAAUCACCUACCUGAGUCUGGUAGUUCCAUACACAAACGCUUCCCGAGUACAGACUCGACAAAAUCCUGCAUUCCGCCACAUAGCAUAAUGUGAUUAGCCAUGGUUCAGACGAAGCACUCAUAAUUCACGUAGCGUUUCGGUACACAAAACCAGCCACUCACCAUGGCUCUGUCGGAUGCAGAUCCACGGACUUCACCCUCUCGGACCUCUGCGCGAGCUUCCUCUGAUCCAAGCAAACAGAGAACCACCAUCAGCGACGCGGCCCAAAAGCAUUUACCGCCGAGACAAAACGAGGAGCAGAAAGCCAAACGGAUCCGAGGAAGAUGGGUUGAGAUUACCUUGAUAUCCAACCGGAGCGGCUGCCGGAGCACGCCCAUCGCCCGCCCACCAACACCACAGACAGAGAAAAAAAAAGGCAAUCACAUCAGUACACAACGCCAGAAAGCACCAGAUCCACGCAGAUUUCAACCAGCCCCGCCGCGGAUCUCGCUACCUCGCGAGCCGCCGCGCCACAGCCCAACGGGCGCGAUCUCGCGUACGCGGCGGCGAAGUAGCAAGGCGGGAGCUGGAAGAGGUGUUCGGUGCGGAAGACGAGAGAGAGAGAGAGAGAGAGAGAGAGAGAGAGAGAGAGAGAGAGAGAGAGAGGCACGUGCACGUACCAUGGUGGCGCCCGCGACGGCUACGGAGGCAGCGGCGAGGCGAGGAGCGCGACUGGCGGAGGUGCGGCCGUGGAGGCGGCGCUUCUAGGGCUUGCGUAGCGAGGGGGCGGGUGGGAGUGUGAGGAGCGCGGCCGCGCGGGCGGUGGCCUCUCGCCGGACCGGGAGGUGCAGGCGCGCCGCGCGGGGAGAGGGGAGGAGAUUUGCGAGUGCGGGCCUGCGGGGGGAGACGAUUCCGGUGGAGAGGCGAGUGGAGACUGGAGCCCAAUUUUUUACAAUUUGAUUCUUUUUUUUAAAAAAAAAUUCCUUUUUCAUCCUAGAAAACCUAAACGCAGUUUUGGACCCAUGGCGUCGACCCCAUGGGUCCAAAACUGCGUUUAAGUUUUCCAGGGGUCUAAAAAGGAUUUUUUUUUCAAAAAAAGAGCCAAAUUGUAAAAAAUUAGGGGACUGGAGAGUGGAGAGGUAGCAAACGGGCUAACGGGUCUCGUAGCUACUGUGGAUUGGAUCCUCCGUGUGUUUUUUGGUUGGCCUUUUUGGAUCGUGGGUUUGCGUGCAUAAGGGUUUAGCUAGGCUUGUGGAAUGUAACCUGAAACUUAUUUCGUUGGCUGGAUGGCCAGCUAGCCAAGCUCCAGCAAGCCCAAAUCAAGGGAUUUAGUUUUCUUGAUGGAAACAACCGAUUCGGUUGUUCUCCGCAAGCCUAGCUUGGCCAGCCCUCGCAGCCGUAUCCGCUCACCUCGAGCGCAGCAGGCUCGUAUCCGCAGACCGAUGCGACCUCGACGUCUUCCUCGCGUCAGCAGCCGUGCGCGACCCGUGCGCCGGCAAUGACAACUUCACCGCCCUCUCGGCUGCCUUCCCACGGGCGCUCUCCGCCCGGACCCCCCCCUCCUCCCUCCCUUCCUUCUCAACCUCUGUGCCACUGUCCCCGUUCACGUCCGCCUCGCCGGCUCCUCCUUUCUGGCCUCCUCCGGGCGGUCCCUCCCUUCCGUCGUCAACACCGCCGUCUCAUCAGCUCACUUACUCUCCAGCCGCCGCCCACACCAUCUCGCGGUCUCCCACACCCUCCACCUUGAUGUCACCAGCCCCGUCGCGGCGUCCAAGCUCACCUCGAGCCCGUAUCCGCAGACCGAUGCGAACAACACGAGCGCAGCAGGCUCAUCCGCGCCCUCCGCCGUGAAGAACGCGAGCGCCUCAGGCCCUCGAGCUGCCUCUGCCCACCUCUUCAUCGACCUGUCCGUCGUCGGUGACCCCAACAACCUGCACGGGAAGAUGCGCGGCGGGAUGGGGCGCCUCGCCUCUCCCCCUCCCCCGACACCUCCGCCGGGAUGGGCGCCUCGCCCCUCCCUCUCCCCUGACACCUCCGCUGGGAUGGCGUGACUCGCCCCUUUCAGAUCGGCUGAGAGCUCGGCCUCUAAGCCUUCUGGUCCUCUGAAAGCCUAAGUUUGGUUUUAGUAAUUAAUGACACCAAGUUGCUAAUGCUUUAUGUUUAAGUGAACUGAGACAGACAUAGCAACACAUAUGAUGAAGGUGCAAGGUGCCAUAAAAAGGUGGUCACAUGAUCACAGAGAGAUAAAGCAUAAAGUGGAGAUCAUGGUGAUAAACAAAGAGUAAAGUGAACAAGGCAAAGGUAUAAACAUAGGGUUUUGCUUUUGCCGGUCUUAGUUGAGUAGAGAAGUGAUUGACCGGAUUUAGGAUUGAUAGCCGACUAUCAAGAGGGGAAAUCACGGUCAUCUCUUGAAUCAAGUGCUACUAUGUCCAUAUCUUGAGCAUAUGCAUUAGGAUCUAAUAAAAUACUAACCUAACUCCUUUGGGAAAAUAUUUGUGAAAUGUUAACACACAUGCACAUUAGUGGUGGACACUUGUUGGUGUUAGCACAUUUGCAAAGGAGGUAGAGUUUAUAGGGUUGAGAGGGGUUUGGGUUCCUCUCUCCCUCCCGCCGAGCUUGAGAGGCGGGAUUCGACGCUUUUAAGAAAAUUAAGUGUAUAUUUUCUAUUUGCGCCGGUGGAAAAUUUGGGAAAGUCGCGGGAGUGCUGGAUGUAGUGCGCGGAGGCACCGGACGCUGACCCUAGCGUCCGGUGUGCUGUCAGUGCGUGGCCCGGUUAGGGUUAAGCACCGGACGCAGGGUAUUCCCUGUUCGCGCGUCCGGUGUGGCCUGUCUUCAGCUGAGGUUUUCUAACAAGGCACCGGGUGCACUGGAGUGAGUCCGGUGCUCAGCGUCCGGUGUUAGUGCGGUUUGUAGACCUCUCUGCGCACGAGUCCAGUGAGGUCGUGAGUUUCACAAACUCUCUGCGUACGAGACCGCUGAGUACCGGACGCGUCCGAUGCUCACUUGACCGCGUCCGGUGGUCCGCAUGUGACCAUUGGAGUUCAACGCGCGAGAUUCAAAGAGUUGACACGUGGCCAACACCAGAGCACCGAACGUAGGGGGUCGAGCGUCCGGUGGCUCCCUGUGGUGAGUCCAGUGCCGCCGAUUUCAGCCCAAUGAAAAUGGCCAACGACUCUUUUGUUGAGGGGGAUUAUAAAUAGGAGGUGACCAUCUUUAGAAGGUUCUCUCUUGCACAUUUGAUUACUUGAGGCAUACAUUAAGCUAAAGAACACUCCCUCCACUCAUCUCCUUGCUUGAUUGCUAAUCCUAGUGAGAUGAGUGAGAUUCAAGUGCAUUGCUUAGUGAGUUGCAUCUAAUGUCACUUGAUUCUUGAGUUUGCUGCAGAUUUCUUGUUACUCUUAGGUGUUUCCCGACACUCUAGACGGCUUGGAGCAGCGGUGGUGUUGAGCUCGUGAUUGAAGAUUGUUUCGAGCCUCGCCAAGUGAUUUGUGAGGGGUUCUUAAGCCUUCUCCGCGGAAGAUUGCAAUUGGCUACUCUAGUGGAUUGCUCGUGGCUUGGAGGAUCCCCAUCUUAUGAGUGGAUGUGCGACACCCGCUGAGGGUUUGGCUUUGGAUUACCAAUUAGCUCGUGAUCCAUCAAGUGGGUGUAUUGCCACAACAAGGACUAGCUUGCCGGGAAGCAAGUGAACCUCGGUAAAAAAUCUUGUGUCAUCUCUUGCCGAAGAUUCUCCUUGUGAUUGUGAUUGUAAGUAAUUGAUUGGAUAUAUCUCUACUCUACAACGUUGGUAUAACAAUCACACUCCUCUCCAUUACUUUCUUGCACAACUUACUUGUUGUAUAGCUUGUGUAGCUUAGUCUUCUUACAUAGGAGUGUAGUUAACUUUAGUUGUGCUUUGUUGUUGUGACUUAGUGUUUAGCCUUCUUGCUAGACUUGUUUAGGUGGCUUGCAUAGCUUAGUUGAGUUAGUGCUAGAAUAGCUUCACCAUUUGUUUUUACUAAUCAACUUGUCUAGUUGAGUUUGUAGAGAAUUUUAAAUAGCCUAUUCACCCCCCUCUCUCUAGCCAUUUGGACCUUUCAUCCUCUUCCAUCUUUUCGACUCGGCCUUCUUCUCCAGCUCGCAGCUCAUAGCGGCGUGGUGGCCCAUUGCCAUGGUUGCCGAGGUGCUUAUCCACCAUGCCCACAACAUGUUCGACUAAAGUUCUGAAAGGGGGUAAAAUUAUCAGGUGAAGAAAGAGGUGAGUCUAUUCAAACUAAACCAGGCAACCAAACACACAUAUUCUUAGCCAAGCUUAGCCAGUACAUGCAACCAAACAUGUGCUACUUGCAUUAGUUAAAGCUGGCCAGAGCUAGCCUGUCUUAGUUUUGCUAGCAGGCUUGUCUAAGAAACGAACCAAGCACACCCGUAGUGAUUAAGCAAAGAUGGGUAGGUGUCUUUUAAAGUUCAAGGGCAACUAACAUUAGAUGGUUUUAAAAUUUUGAAAUUAGAUUGUUAUAGUCUCAAAAUUCAAACUCUAUUAUCUUUGAUUAGUAAUUAGUUCAAUUGCAUAAAAAGUUUAUAAUACGGUAGUGGUUACAUUAGGCUUGUAUUUAGAAAUACUUUCUAAUGAUCAGAAUUUUAUUAUAUAAUACAUUACUAGUAUAGAUAAUAAGAAAAAAGACUGUGAUAAGUUGAAUCAUAUCUCAUAUUCUAGAACGGAUAGUAUAAAUAAAUUGUCCCUGGACGUUAUUGGUUGCAGUUUAUCCGAGAGAAGAUAUCUUAUGCAUUGGAGUUGACGUUUCAUGAUAGAAAAUCAAAUUGAUUCUAGUGCAUGCAAAUUAUAAGAGCAUGUUCAACAAUUUAGCAAAUGACUUUUAUAUCUAUAAUUUUUUUAGCAAAAUAAAAAAAUAAACUCUCUCUCACAGUUUGGUAUCUCAAUUCUCUAUCUUUUCUAUCUUGAUAUAUCACUUUGUCUAGCGCGCAAAUAUACGUGCAGUCUUCGUGCUUGGCGUUGGUCUUUCUCCUUAUGCUUAGUGGGGCCCUUUAUUUCGUUAGCGGAUUUUUAGGUUUUUAGAAACGAAUUUUUGUCAAACUGUUAGAGAUGAGAUCUUUUUUCUUCCUCAUAUUAUUUGGGAGUUGGCAAACAACAAUAUUUGGAGGCAUCUCCAACCGUUUUGGCAAAAUUUGUUUUCCAAAUCUUGAUGUUUGCCAACUCUCAAAAUAAGAGCAUCUCCAGGAGUUUAAGAGCAACUCCAAUAGUUUGGCAAAAAAAACUUGGCAAAUCUAGGCAUUUGGCAAGUGACUAAAACACAUAUAGCAAGUCAAAAAAAUUAGUAUAUCCAAAAAUUUGGCAUUUGGGCUUGACAAAAUUAGGCACAAGCACAAGCACACACACAUUUACGUGUUGCAGAUAACAUUUUCAUUGUUGAAUUGUGAUUGAAACAAUUUUUGGUUCAACUAUAUUCGGCCAUCAGCUCUUGCAUGAAAUAUGCACUUGCAUCAGCUCUGAAUGUGUGAAUGUGUGUGUGCUUAUAUUGACAGCCGUUUCAUCAUUGCCAAUCAUAUGCUUAGAUGCAUGGCCAAUCGCCUGGCAAAAAACGACAGAAACAGGUGUUGUUCCGGCGAACUGGAGCUGCAACUUCUUAGCCUGACGCGGGCAGGGAAGCCGAUGCCAAGUGAACCGGACCGUGCAAACAUUUAUGUGUUCAUCCGAAGGAUGCCAAGUGCGCAAAUUUUGCCAAGUGAAUUGCCAAACGGUUGGACCACCAUGGCGAACUGGAGCUGCAACUUCUUGGCCUGACAAGGGAUGCCGAUGCCAAGUGAACCGGACCGCGCAAAUAUUUAUGUGUUCACCAGAAAGAUGCCAAGUGCGAAAAUUGUGCCAAGUGAAUUGCCAAAUUGUUGGGCCGUGGUUUUUCAAGUUUUGUCAAAAAUCUAAGAAUAGCAAGUGCUUUUGCCAAACUAUUAGAGUUGCUCUAACAACUUCCUACCUUAAUAUUUUAGUAAAAAGAGAAAAAAAAUUUCCUCCAACAGUUUGGUAAAACAGCUUUUAAAAAAUAGAAAGUUCAACUCAUUAAUUCCAUAUUCUCUUUGAAUCUGUUUUCACGUCAUUUCUGAUAUAGUCCUCUCAUUCGACUAAGGGUCUGCAGCACUCAGCGGGACAGACAUGCAUCGAAGCCCUCGAGAGAAUGUGUUUCAUACAACCAGGUGGUGUAUUUUGUCGGCCGUAAUCUGUUGUACAACUUGUUUCCAAAGGCUUAAUGAUCGAAUGUAACUCUGUUUUAGAGGGCCUAAGCCCUAAGCUGCUUUCAGCCUCAUUCCUUGUAUAUUGUGCCUGGCGUUCUGCUCGAAUUGCAUAGUAUGUAUAUUUUGUGUUCCGUAGUUGUCUUGGACAGUAUCAGCUCAUGUUUUUAGUACAAGUCGUUUUUAGUGCAGUUGGCUAUUCAAUUUAACGUGGAUGAUAAGUACUGUAUACUUAUCAGAUGUAUAAUCGUGAUCAAUCAAUUUUGUGGUUUCUUUUACUUAGUAGUAUCACUUAAUUUUGUGUGAUCUUUUGUAAGGGUUCUAUUUCUUGUGGAACUCAUCAUUCACCAAAAAGUUAAUUUUAAGAUUCUUUAUCAUAUUAAAUCUUUGAACACAUGCAUUAAAUAUUAAAUAUAGAUAAAAAAAUAAUUAUUGUAUAGUUUGUCUGUAAUUUGUGAGAUAAAUUUUUUAAACCUAGUUAGUCCAUUGUUGAAUAAUAAUUAUUAAAUAAUUUUUUGAGCAUGUUAGUUUAUGUUUAGAUAAUAAUUAUUAAAUACAAACAAAAGUGCUACGAUAACCGAAUAAAAAAACGCGAACUGGAGUGUUUGGGACUACUCUACAAACUCCACUGUGAAGUAGCUCCAUAAAAAACUAGAGUUUGCGGAGUACCUUUUUAGGUGCUUUCACAACUCCACCUUUUUUUCCUCGAACUGAGUGCGUAGAGAACUGAGUGCGUAGAGCUGAACCGUUUGGCUAAAUAACAUAAAGCGGAGCUAAAAAAACGUGAGACAAAACAAUCCCAAACACCCUCUAAACAAGGCAAAAGUUCGCGAACGAAACAAGGCCUUGGUAAUGCACUCCGGGUAACUCAAAUCAAGUGCUUACAAAUGAGCCCAAUUUGGCCGAGUUUAAUAGCCCGGUUAGGCCAAAUCCCUAGACGUAGAGCUAGCCUUGCCUAGCCUCCUGUCUGCUGUCACGUAGCUAUAAUACCUACUUAUGACUCAGGAAAUAAUUUCCAGCUUUGCCGCCACUGUCACUCCGGCCAGAUAGCUGCACAACGGAGUCGGAUAUAGAAGUAGCCAUCACAAACAAAACAUAGCACAACACAAAUUGCUCACAAUUAACUAAACACGCUAUUGAAAACAUAUGCUGUAAACUUAUUAUUCGCUAGCACUGAAAAGGUGUAACACUGAUACAAAGCUCCCAAGUCCGAUGUACAUCACAGGUAAAACAUUCUCAGUUCGACAAGCUACUACUCUAUGUACCCUGUAAAAUAUCACUCCUCCGAUCACCAGUCAUAUCCCAUCUCGGUGAAACAAGAGUACCUCUGAUGAUAAGCUAUAAAAUGUCUUCGAGACCUAAAGACCUGAUCUACAUGUAAAAAAGGAAGCACAAAAUUUCCUAUAGGGCACAAAGAUGAAGUGUUAAGAAAAAUGGCUUGCAUGUACUCUAGAUAGCAGUCAGCAACCUGCAAUAAGAUUGGUUACUUGUAUUAUAGUUUUAACAUGACUAAAAAGGUUCUAUGGUACAUGAGUAAUUGUUUACUUGGAAUAGCAUCUGACCUUUACAAACUAAACCACUGAAGCAAAGUUGUUGUCCCAUUGAUCCACUAUUGCUCAGGAGUCAGCACUGCAAAAGAAAAGACAACCGUUAGAAGCAUUCUAGUGAAAUUGUGAACAUCAAAAAACUGGUAGAAAUCCAUAACAAAACAAGGGAAUGGUAGCAAGAAAGCAGGCAUCAGUAACAGAAACAGUAACAUUUUAAGCAAAACAUUCUAAGGAAUACGUUUAAAAAGCGUUUGACCAAGGUUGUAAUAAAAUUAAUGAAUCCUAGGUUGAUCAAAACUCCCUGAACUGCCAUACUGCUAAAGAUAAGGGCAACACAAGGUUAUAUCCAGAAUAGAUCACCUAGCAGGAGCUUCCUAAUAUCGUGCACUGGGAGGUAAGGCCAGGAAAAAUAAGGUAUUUAGGACUGUACACUUGCUCAACUACAGCUUUUAUGCUGAUGGUUCUUCAUUUUUCGUACCCCACUGUUCCUCACUACUGUUUCCAUUCACAAGGACAGCACCAUCAGUUGAACCCUCUGCCUCAACCUCAACAGCUUCAUCUUGACUUUCUUCUACUCCGUCAUCCUCUGCAUCAACCUCAACAGCAUCUUCUUGACUCUCUUCUACUCCAUCCUCAAUAACCUGAUCAACAACGAUCAAUGUUACCAGUUCUGCAAGAACAGUGAAUGGGAAGCAAUACAUACAUACAUAUAUAACAAAAAUCAUGAAAGAAAAUGGAAAAUGAUAACAGUACGAUGCUUGAACAGAAGCACGGAACUUUGGAAGUGCACACAAGUACACAACUAACCCUACUGAAAAUUUAUUAGAUAAUAGGUCAACAAACUAGAAACUAACAGGAGACAGUCCUGUACCAUUUAUAGCAACUCAGAGGUUCUCAUCUUUAUAGUCAAAACAUAUUUCUAUUAGUUUUAAGGUACGAAAUGAAACAGUGCAGAACAUCAUACUCAUAAGCAAAGAAGUUAAACUACCAGCAUGUUCCUAAGCAAUUCAAUUUAGUGAAACUACAAUAUGCACACUACUCCCUCCAUUCCAAAUUAUAGAUCACUUUAGCCUUGUCCCAAUUAAAACUUUUCUAACUUUGACCAAGUUUUAGGAAAAGCACCAACACAAUAUCAAAUUAGUUUCAUUAAAUUCUCCAUGGAAUGUCUUGAUAGUGCAUUUAUUUUGAAAUAGUAGAUGUUAGCAUAGUUUUCUAAAAAUUUGGUCAAAGUGAGGGAAGUUUGACUUAGGACAAAACUGAAGCGACCUACAAAAUGAAAGAGGGACUACAGAUUACCAUAUUGUCAAGAUCAAAAUUAGGAUAUUUCACAUAGUAAAUAAGAUGCAACUAACAUCAGAUAACCACCAAACCCUUUUUUUUUUGCGAGGAAUAAAUCAUAAUAGUACCUCAUGAACAGUAUCUUCAUUAUCAUCUGGUACCAUCUCUUCAUGUACAUGCAUAUUUUUAAAAGCUUCCACUAAACUCUCAUUUGACCUUUCAGCAUGAAUCAUGUACUCCUCGGCCGGUGGAUAGAUACCCCUGUUCAAAACGUGUUUUUUAUGUGUGUCGGUAAAAGAUAAUAGCUUGGAAAAAUAUAUGAGUAUCGACAUCACUUCUGCUUUUCAACAGAUGAGUGCAAUUAAAGCACCCUCAUCUGAUGCAAGAGGUAAUCGGAGACAACACAAAAGGAUACAGUUACAUAUGAAGAUAAAAAGAACAAAAACCUUUUCGGGGCAACAACAGCUUCUACAUUGAGAGCAAUCUGCCAGUCGUCAAAUAAGUUUGGGUACUCAUUAGGAUCAGCCAGCGACUCUGCUGCUUUUGGGUUUACCUAAAAAAGCAAAUGGAACAAAACAGUGCACAUUUCAUAAACUUAGACCUGCAAUUUGAAGACAGUGAUGCCCAAGUCUAAACUUAAGACAAAACAAAUAUCACAUGAUUUUAGCAAAUUAUUUAAUACAUAUCCACCCUGAAUUUAGUGUACUAAAAUUAUUAGGUAAAUUGUGCUGGACGAAAUUGAAAGCAUCCAUUACAAGUAAAUUCAGAAACAAUUCCAGCAGUGGACUGUACCAGGGUUAUGCUAAAAUAACAAUACCAUGCUUGAGUUUGUAACUUAAGAUGACAAUUUAUCCUGGGAUACAUGCACUAAGACCAAGUUAACCUAAUUAAGAUAUGCAGAAAGAUUUGAGCAUAAGACUGAGUAGAACAGAAGCAAAGGAGACUCAUAGGACAGAAGACCUUCUGGAGAUCCUUUUUCCACAAUGCUACAAUCUCAGGGACUUUGCUAGGAAGAUAAGAUCUUGCCAUCAAUGCUGCUUCCGGAAUACGGUUGCUGUACAAGGGAUAGUAGACGAGUCAAAAUAAGAAACAAAAAAAAUUAAGGUUAAGCAUGACAAUCUUGCCCAGAUGCCUAUUAUACCUUUCUAUUAGCAAUUGAAGACACUCUUCCAGCUUUCCUAGCAUGAAGAAACAAAGGAAAGAAACAUUGUUCUUUCCUUGUUCUUUGGCUACAGAUGCCAAUUUCUUAAUGCCAUCAGCAUCCCCAAGGGAAGAAUACAAAAGCAACAAACCACUGAGGUCCAUAGCAUAUAGAAGACACUCCUCUGCCAUCUCAAGCUGCAGAAAAUUGUAUGGCAUGUGAGUAAGCGACUUCAAGUUAAAUUUUUGCAUGAUUGCAUCAUAGUUUUACAUGGAACACUAUUUUGUUAAAUCUAAGGAAAUAGCAAUAAGCAUCUCCUUACCAUCAAACUUUUAAGUACCCUCGUAUUAUCAUAAAUAAUUUUCUGCUUCAUAAUAGCUAUUGUUUGUCCCAGUCACAAAUAACUAAUGCUUUGGACAGGACAUGGUCACCAAGAAACUACUUUUAAGUCUUUGACCACUAAAUACUAGUCCAAAAUGUAUGCAAAAUAUAGUGAAUUGACAUGUUGAAACUACUUUUGAAGAGACAUCUAGCAAUGAAACUGAUGAAUGCACGCAACACAAAAUGUUCAAAGGUUAUUCAUAGUGAAUCUAAACCUCUGCAAAAUAUAGCAAGUUUACAAAAGUUCAAUCAAAGUAUUCUUAGAGACAUUGAUGGUCAAAGUUUAAGCCUGUCAAAUUCACACAACAUAAAACGACACUUAUCUGUGUUGCCCAACUCAUAGAGAUUUGGAUCUGGGAAUGCCCAGAGGGCAGCUUGGCCCUUGGCCGCUUGGAUUGAAUCAAACUUGUGAUAACAGGAUACAAUAGAGGGAGGGGGGUCUGCCACUUAUAUAGCAAUGUGGUCAGACACCUACUCCAGAAUAUGCUAUAGCAAAAGUAAAGAUGCCUGCUCCAAACUUGGAUGCCAAGGCACUGCUACUACUAAUGCAGAAAUUAAGAUACAUAGCAAUUAGGCUUAACUAACAUUCUCCCCCUAAGCCUAAUGCUGGUUGAUCUGCUCCAGUCCAAUCCUCCUCCUCAUCUCCUGAAACUUGGCCUUUCCCAGAGACUUGGUGAGUAUGUCUGCAAGCUGAUCAGUAGUAGGGAUGUGGCUGGCCUUGAUACUUCCAUCUUCCAGGCAGUCUCUGAUGAAGUGGUACUUGAUUCUUAUGUGCUUGCUCCUGUCAUGGAAGACUGGGUUCUUGGCCAGAGCUAAAGCAGACUUGCUGUCCACCUUCAACUCCACCACAUCAACUUCUUUGCCCAGCAGCUCCCCGAGCAGUCUGGACAACCAUAGUGCUUGAGUUGCAGCAGAGGCAGUAGCAAUGUAUUCUGCCUCGCAGCUUGACAAGGCCACCACUCUCUGCUUGAUUGACUGCCAGCUGACCAGACAAUCGCCCAAGAAGAACAUAGUCCCACUGGUGCUCUUGCUUGUAUCGAUGUCACCGGCAAGGUCGCUGUCACAGUAGCCGAUGAACCGCGCUGUUCCAGGAGCCCUCUUGUAGUGAAGACCAUACUCCAGAGUCCCAGCAACGUAGCGGAGGAUGCACUUCACCGCCUGCAGAUGCUCCACCGUGGGCCGCUCCAUGAACCGGCUCACGUACCCGACGGCAAACGCCAAGUCCGGCCGGGUAUGCACGAGGUACCGGAGGCUGCCGACAAGCCGCCGGUAGUGCGUGGAGUCCACCUCCUCAGCCUUGCUCUCCCUGCUCAGGCGAAGCUUCUCUUCCAUGGGCGUGUGCGCCGGAUUGCAGCCAAUCAUCUCGCCGAGCUCGAGGAUCCGCUUGGCAUAGUGAGUCUGGCGGAGAGUGAUGCCCCUGGCAUCCUGACGCACCUCGACGCCGAGAUAGAAGCAGAGUAAGCCAAGAUCGCUCAUGUCGAACCUUUCCUUCAUCUGCGCCUUGAAGCUCUUGACCUCCUCCUCCUCAGCGCCGGUGAUGAUGAGGUCGUCGACGUAUACCCCGACGAGCAGGACAGAGCGUCCGCUGCCCCGCCGAUACACAGCCGCCUCGUGCGCGCUCUGGGUGAAGCCCAUCGCCUUCAGGGUGGCGUCCAGCUUCGCAUUCCAGGCGCGCGGUGCCUGCCGCAAGCCGUACAGGGCCUUGCGCAGGCGGUACACCUUGCCUUCUUCUCCGGCGACGGCGAAACCCGGUGGCUGGCGCACGUAUACCUCCUCCUUGAGGUCGCCGUUCAGGAAGGCGGACUUCACGUCCAUGUGAUGCACCGACCACCCUUCCUCAGCCGCCAGCGCGAGGAGGACGCGCACUGACUCCAUGCGCGCCACGGGGGCGAACGCGUCGUCGUAGUCGACGCCCUCCUGCUGGACGAAGCCCCGCGCCACCAGUCGAGCCUUGUGCUUGAUCACCGAGCCCUUCUCGUCCUUCUUGAGCUUGAAGACCCAUUUCAGGGUGAUCGGGCGAUGACCGGCAGGUAAUUCGACAAGCUCCCAGGUCUUGUUCCUCUCCACCGACUCGAUCUCCUGCUUCAUGGCGGCCUCCCACGCCGGAUCACCUCGUGCCUCCGCGUGGUUGAUGGGCUCGCCAGCGUGCGUGAGGUGGAGCUGGGCGAAGAGGCGCGGCGCCAGGUCUGGAAGAGACACAUCUCCCAGGAUGUUGGUCAUCUUGCGGUACCGGAGGGGCUCGUCGUCGUAGAAGGCGUCCAAGCGAUCCUCGUCAUCCUCCAGUGGCGUCGCGAGCUCGACUUGGGGCUGAUCGGUGGUCGGAGUAGUGGUCGGAGAUGGUGUCGCAGCAGCUCCAGGACUGCUCCCGUUCUCCCCCGGAGCUGGUGAGCUUGAUGGCGUGGUCGGAGAUGCUGAAGUGGUCGGAGUGGUCGGAGAUGGUGUAGGCGCGGCUGGAGCAACUGCGGUGGUCGGAGUGGUCGAAGCAGAGGAGGUUGUUGAGGAUUCGCCUCGUGCUCCUUCCUUCCCGCUGAACACCGCGUACUCGAUGACGAACUCCGUGUUCACUGGAGCUGCGUCCUCUCCAGCUUUCACCCAGUCCCAGCCGCGGCUCUCGUCGAAGAUGACAUCCCGUGACACGCGCACUCGCUGCGUCGCCGGGUCGAGCACGCGGUACGCCUUGGCACCGUCGGCGUACCCGAUGAAGAUGCCGGGGCGACUCCGAUCAUCCAACUUCUUCAGCUGGGUGAGGUCCUUGGUGUAUGCCACACACCCGAACGUGCGCAGGUGACCCACCGCCGGCGUCUUGUCGUGCCAUGCCUCGUAAGGCGUCUUGCCCUGCAAGCUCCCGGUAGGCGCUCGGUUCAGGAGAUGGACAGCAGUCACCACUGCCUCCCCCCAAUACCGAGCCGGAAGACACCUCUGCUUCAGCAGCGCACGAGCCAUGGCCACCACCGUCUGGUUCCGGCGCUCCACGACUCCGUUCUGCUGCGGCGAGUAGGGGGCGGUGUAGUGGCGCUCGAUUCCUUCAUCGGCGCAGUAGGCCGCAAACUCCAUGGCGGUGAAUUCGCGACCGUUGUCGGUGCGCAGCACCUGGAGCUUGCGUUCGCUCCCCUUCUCAGCUACAGCCUGGAGAUGUUUGAUGGCGUCCGCGGCGGCGUCCUUGGUGGUCAGCAGUGCCACCCACAUGUACCGCGUGGCGUCGUCGACGAGCAGCAGGAAGUAGCGUCUGCCGCCCGGAGUCGCCGGCGUGAUUGGGCCGCAGAGAUCGCCGUGGACGAGCUUGAGCGGCUCCUGCGCACGGUACUCAGCCUCCGCCGGGAACGGGGCUCGACGAUGCUUGGCGAGGACGCACGUGUCGCAGAACUGCCCGACGUGGGUGAUCGCCGGCAAUCCGCGCACCAUGUCGUUCUUGGACAGCUGCCGGAGAGCGUCGAAGUGGAGAUGACCGUAGCGCUCGUGCCAGCGCCAUGCCGCAUCAUCCUUGCGUGCGGCGAGGCAGAGUGGCUUGGCCUGGUUCAGAUGCAGGACAUAGAGGCGGUUAGCACCGCGGCGCACCUUGACGAGUAGCCGCCGGUGUCGAUCCCAAAUCCUCAGGACGCCGUGCUCGAUCUCCACCUUUGACCCCCCUUCGUCCAGUUGGCCGAGGCUCAUGAUCGAAUUCCUGAGCGCUGGGAUGAAGUAGACGCCGUGGAGCACCCGGUGCUCCCCGUUCUUCGCUUCGAAGAUGAUGGACCCGACGCCAUGGAUCUCCACCUUCGACUCGUCGCCGAACCUCACCGAUCCUCUGGCAGAAGUGUCCAGGUCGGUGAAGAGCUCGUGUCGGCCGGUCAUGUGGUGGGUUGCACCGCUGUCCAGGUACCAUCCGUCCAUCUUCUCUUCAUUGCCGGUGUCGAGGUAGGCGCGCGCACGGGGUUCUUCAAGCUCGAGGCAGCCGUUCUUGGCGCAGAAGAUUGAAGCUUGGGCCUUGCUGCAGCUCCCUUGUGCGUCGAGCUCCAGGAAGCCAUGCGCGAGGAAGGCGGCAGCGUCCUCAUCCACUUGGGCGACGUUGGCGGCGCCACCGCGCUCUCGGUUACGUCGGGGAUGAGGACAGUCUCGGGCCCAGUGGCCUGCUUGAUGGCAGUUGAGGCAGAGGUCGUCGCGAUUCGCCUUGUGCUCGCCGUCCGCACCUCCUGCCUUGUCCGCCUGCGCCCCUCCGCCACCGGCUCCGCAUCCGUCGCGAUCGCCGCGCGGCUUGUUCUUCUUGCCACCGCGAGGACGCCGUCGCUUGUCCUUGGACGGCCCGGCUGCUUCCGCCUUCUUCUUCUUGUCGAAGGCCCGCCACUGUUCGGCGGUGUACAGAAGCUUGCCGCCGGCGUUGGCGGAUUCGAGGUCGUCCGCCAGCUCUCGGUCCUGGACCGACUUGAGCCGGCCGGUGACGUCCUCGAUGGUGAGCGCGUCGAAGUCGAGCAGAGUCUCGAUCGAGUUCACGAUCUGCCUGUACCUCUUCGGCAUGCACCGGAGGAGCUUCUCGACGGCGCGUUCUUCGGUGAGGUCGGUGUCGCCGUUCAGCUUCAUCUGCUCCAUCAGACUGCUGAGGCGCACGGCGAAGUCCUCGACAUGUUCGCCGGGCUGAAAGGCGAGGCCUUCCCACUCCCCGCGAAGGCGCUGCAGUGUCGCGCGGCGUACCCGGUCACCGCCGACUCUGCGCAGCGCGAUGGCGUCCCACGCCAGCUUCGCCGUCCUCUUGUUGGCGAUGGAGGCCGCGAUGUCGAGCGGGACAGCGGCGCACAGAGCCUCCAAGGCCCGGCGAUCCUCCUCAUACGUGACGCCACCGACGUGAACUGCAUCCCAAAGAUGUCGAGCUUGGAGCUUUACCUUCAUCAGGAGGCUCCACUCGUGGUAGUUGCUCUUGGUGAGCAUCGGCCACGGCGUCCCGGCCCCGGAGUCGCGGUAGACCAUCUGCGGCACCGGCGAACGCCCGCGACGACCACGGCGCCGCUCAGGAGACGGCGACUGGCGGCGGCGCUCGGGGGUGCGCGAUCGCGAUCCCGCGGAGACCGCAUCCUCCUGCUCCAGCUCCCGACGCAGGGCGGCCGCGGCGUCAACUGCGGCCUGCGCCGCUGCUGCUGCCUGCUGGGCCGUGGCGGCCGCGGCCGCCGCCGCUGCCUCUGCGGCAGCAAGGCGCGUCCUGCGGUCAUCCCCCCCCGCGCCGAAGGCUCCAGCGCCCCGCUGCUCCACCGUGGAUGCUACAGCUGCUGCUGCUGCUGCGGCGGCGGCGGCCCGGACGCGAGCACUCUCGGUGGACAUGGCUCUCUCUGGGUAAACCCUAAAGCUCUGAUACCAAUUGUUGCCCAACUCAUAGAGAUUUGGAUCUGGGAAUGCCCAGAGGGCAGCUUGGCCCUUGGCCGCUUGGAUUGAAUCAAACUUGUGAUAACAGGAUACAAUAGAGGGAGGGGGGUCUGCCACUUAUAUAGCAAUGUGGUCAGACACCUACUCCAGAAUAUGCUAUAGCAAAAGUAAAGAUGCCUGCUCCAAACUUGGAUGCCAAGGCACUGCUACUACUAAUGCAGAAAUUAAGAUACAUAGCAAUUAGGCUUAACUAACAAUCUGCAACCAGAGGAAGUAGUAAUUAAGAAAACAUUAUGGCUGAACCACACUAUAUAAGGACAACAUAGAUAGCGGCAUUGCGCAUGCAAGAUAAACAAUACACCCGGUAGCUGUACCUUUCCAUUUGACAUAGCUAACUCCCCUAAUUGCUUCCACUUGGACUCACUUUGCACCUCGGUAGCAAUCGCCUGCAAAGCAACUACUAUUAGAAAAAAAUCAAAAAAUAAAUACUUUCAUGAAAUUGUGGAGAAGAAAAGAAAUCGAUUGUGCCUUCGCAAUUUCAAGUCGACCAAGCUGCACAGCCAGGUCAAAUUUGUAAUUAGUGUCAGUUGCUAUCUCGAGGGCUUCCUCCAACAUUCCCCGUGAUUCCAAGAAACGUGCCACACUGCAAAACGAAAGGUUAUGUUUCUAUGCUAAACCUGACUUGACACUACAAUAAUUACCAUGACAUUGAGCACCUGUCAUAUUGUUCCUUUGGUAUAGAUGAUAAAACAUCAUUCGCGCGAUCAAAAUCCCCACGCAUUACAAGUGUUUUAUACUCGAUCAAACUAAGGAGUAAAGUAUACCCCACAACACUGCAAUUAAAAGGUACAUUAGCCACAGAACUUGUGUAUGAAAACUACAUGUGAAAUUUAGGUAACAAAGAUGAACUCACUUAAAUUGCUUAUCAAUAAGAUAGACACGGCUUUGGUUUGCAAGAUAUCCUAGUAAAUACAUUGGCCGAUCCAAGUGAAACAAGGUUGUGACCUGUAACACAUGAAAUGGUUAUGACAUGAAAGCUCAAAAGAUAUAUAGGAUGUUUUUGUAAGUGACGAAAAAAACUCACCUCUCCUCCUACACAGUAAUUAAGCCGCCAUGAAGAAUUAUUGUAGAUGAAGCAAUCGCCAACCCAUAGCCCAGUGCGGACACGUUCAUUGAUCUCAUGAAGCAGUUCAAAGGCAUCUUCCACACCUUCCUCACCAGCUGAACCCCCUCCAUCCAAAUGAGAUGAAACUACAUCCCUCUACAAGGUAAAAGGAAACUUUUAUAUUAGUACAUUUCCAUUUGACCAAAAAAUAAUUGCUUCUUAAUUUGACAUAAAAAAAAGACACAAGAAAUGUCAACGGAACAUAGGUAAUUGAGGUAAUGACAGAACUCACAUUAUAUUUCAAAAUGUAGAAUGACGUAUCACUUGCAAUUGUUACUAAAUCACCACUGUCGGCCCAGUAAAGAUUCUACACAAAGAAACAUGUUUUCAGUGGCACAACAUUUCAAAUGGCAUGAAUGUAAAAACAGCUUUGAAAUAAUAAGGCAGCAAAUUCCAUACCUUCACAUUGACAUCAAUUCGACGUAUCAAUCUGCAAUCCACCCAAUCAUAGAAGCAAAUGAAGUCAUUUGUACACAUAGCAAGUAACACUCCACCAAAUAUCCGUUCAGCAGAAAAUGAUGGCCUUAUACUUUUCUUCUCCUGAAAAGACCAACUCUAGUUAACAGACUAUGUUCCAGGAACCCAUAACAAAAGAGAAUGGUGUAUGGAGUAUAGUAUGCUGGUUGCAAUUCAUUUAACAAUUUAGUUUGGAGCAGCACAGUAAAAUAGUUAUUUUACCUUUCCAUCAAACUUAACAAAAAAAGACAACACAAACUACAGUACAGUUUAUUUCAUAGCGUCUAUAGUUCAUCAUAGAAACUAUUGAGGCUACAAAUUGGAUAUGAGGGCCAAUUGACCAGACAUUUCAAGAUUAUCUUUUAUGGCAUGACUAAGCAUGUUACCAGGAACAGGUGCCCUACGGAUGUUUGCUUUAUAGAUAUAACUAAACUAAACAGUGUGCCAGGGAGAAGUGAAAUAUGUUACACUCAAACAAACCUGGAAAUUUUUAGUGUAUAUCUUUAUCCUCGAGGUGCUUUCUCUGAUGGCAUAUUCUCCAUCAGUUGACCAAACAACUUCAAGUGCGGUCCCAAAUGAUUUGUUUCUCCAUGCUAAUGCUGUGUAUAUUAUGUAAUCUCCAUCUCCGCAUACAACAACAAAUCUCCCAUUCGGAUUGUGCCUUAAGCUCUGAAACAAAUAUUGCACCAGUAUAUUAUUAACUUAAACCAGCACAAAUAAAAUAUGCAUGACCACAAAAAAGUUUAAAAAAAAUCAUGAUGGUUCAAACAUUCAAUGUUGUUCAAAAGAAUGAGCCAUUACCCCCUACCCAUAAACUGCCAUAGGCAUUUUUAUGGUCCCACUAAGUUACAGAGAAAUUUAUGGCACAAAUGAGCUAUCGCUGACCAAGAAGCAUUUCAAUUUGGUAUUUGAGUUUAACGUUAUUAUACUGAAAAAUGCAGCUAAAUAAACACAAUAUCCGGAUGCAUUUCCAAAAAUACAUGAUGAAUGUAUUAUCAUGACACCAUGUCUAUGUUACUUGGACAUUAAAAAGAAAAAAAUAGAACUAAGUUUCAAGUAUUUAGUUGACUUGUGAUGAAGAAGAUCACAACUGAAGCAUCCAUUUUAUCACAGGUAAACUUACUUGUGGAUAAAGAUCGCAGCUUCCCAACUCCUUCACGGCCAAUGGUAACCGAUCACCAUCUGCGAUCUAAAAAACAAAACAGUUAAGGACCACAGAGAAACCUUAUAAUAAGCUUAAUAAGUUUACAUCGCAAUAGCAUGGUGAACAAAGGCAACCUCAUUGUCUGCACCAACACUCUUGAUAUUAACAGUUUGGAUUUCAUUAUGCUUUGCCCAUAUAAUUUUCCCACUGCUAUCCAUGCUAGCAACAGGAACUUCACGACCAAUUUUUAUCAUUAUUGUCCCUUCAUCAUAUCCAAUCACGACCCUACACAAAAUAAGAUAUUCGAUAUCAUUAACUUGACAUGUGCAGGAAAGAACAAGUCAAAGAAAACCACACACAGCAUGUUUCAGUGAGAGCAAUUCGUUAAGAAAUAGUUAGGCAAAUAAACAAUUUUAUUGUCACAAUGUAUGAAAAUGGGAUAUGAAAAAAGGUAUGGUACUUCCAUAAGACAGUUGAGGAAAUGUGGAGAACACAGCGUGUGCAGUAUUACUGAGCUGUGGAUCUGUGGAGCCCUUGAUAGCAGAUUACAAGAAAUGGCAUUUGGUGUCAGACACUUCAAUAUGGAGAGAGAGAGAGAGAGAGAGAGAGAGAGAGACUACCUUCUUGACCCUUUCAUAUAUCCUAAAGCCCAAACUCGCUCAAGGCCAUAGUUAAGAGUGUUCUCAAGCCUGUAAAAGCAUCAAGAAAAUCAUUAGUCUCUUGUUGGCUUGUUCUAUAACCAAAAAAAAAGUAUUAGUUGCAUGGAAAAAGGAUUGUAAUACUAUUCUAAACCAUGAGUACAAAACAGCAGGUCUUCAUAUAUCACGAGUUCCGGCAUCAAAAAGUAGUUCCAUAAUUUUAUAUGACAAAAUGAAAAUAAAAAAUAUUUUUUUAAAAAAAAAAACUCUUCUCAAAACUGC
rnacentral:lncRNA from 1 species